UCGAGAGAGAUUGAGAAUUCUCGACCAUUCUCAAGACCCGGCGACCUGAAAGAAGACCCGACCGGAAUUUCCUUUUCUGGCCAUCUAUCGGCGGCGGACCACCGUAUUUUGCUUCGUCUCCUAGUCACCGAUGUCCCUCUGGCCUCAGAUUGUCCAAUUGGCAACGCAAGGAGACGGUACGACCCUCGAAAACUCUAAGCUUUUCCGGCGGUGCUUUCGCAAUUUCCGGCGAUCGAUUUGUCUGCAUGCGUACACAGCGGCUUUUCCGGUACUUCUUGGGCCGACGUUGAUAAUGUUCCUGGUCCUAGAACUUGGAGUGAGGCUUGAUCAUGGUGAAAAGCAGAAGUUGUGUUGAAUUGGAACGAAGAAGAAGAAUCUCGUCGUGGUAGUUUUCGUCUCUGCUGCACUUUUCGUUGCAGGACAGGAUUUGCUUGAACUAUUUGGUUGGAGAGGUGAGUUGCAGGUCAUUCACGUAAUCUUUAGAAUCAAUUGUGUUGGUGUUGAUUUGUUUGGGAGCACACGUGUAGUGUGGAAUCCUGUGUUGCUUAGUGUGUGCCUAGAUUGGGUCGUUGCUUUCUGAUUAGAAUCAAAGGUGAUCAGGCUUGAUUGUUAUUGGACAUGUGAGGUUGAAUUGUAAGUUCCUUUUGUUUGGCUACUGGUCAUGGAAAAUUAACCAAGAUAUAUUGGAUAGA